AAAAGCAUAACACUCAUUCUCUCUCCAAACCCAAAACCUACUCACGCUGAAACCUUCCUUCGACUUCCACUCACUCCGCCGUCGAAACCCUAACCCAUCCACAGAUUCUUCUCCCUUCAUCAGCGCAGAACACACAUUUUCACCACUGGAAAGUGAAAACGAUUCGUAUUCACCUCCGAUUCACCACUUGAACAGAAAGAGGAAACAACGUUCAUCCCUUUGUUUAACAAACAAACAACAAACAAGAACAAUUUCGAACAUUGACUGAUUUUCUUCGUUAGGUCAAAACAACAACACACCAAUGCAAGGUGUGGUGCUCAAUACACAAUCUUACAACACAACUCUUCAACCUUCUCCAUCUUCCUCCAACACCGAAAAGGGUACAUGGUUUUUCGAUAACCAGGUUCGUUUUAGGAGGAAGAACAAUAAAUCUCAGCAUCCUUGCGUUUUGUUUCAUUCACCGCACUCUAUAUGUCUAUUUGGUUAGUUAUCCCUUAAUUAUUGGAUUCAAUUUCUUUUGUUGAUUCAGAUAGUUUGUUAGCUUGUACUAAUUAUGCAUAUACUUCACUAUGCCCAAUUCAAUUAUUCACAUAUAUUUAAAUCUUUAAAUAUGGUCUUUUGAAUUGGAUUAAUACUUGUAAAGAUUGUCUGUUUAAUGGAGUUGUCAUCGGUGGUUACGAGGAAAUAACGAAUUCCAGCCAUUUGUCAGCUCACAACCAUCGUCCCUCUCUUCAUUGGUAUCUGGGUUUCACCCAAGUGUGGCAGAGAAGGCUUCAUUCGUCUCCGCUAGUUCUCAACGGUAGUGCUACGGUUACGGUGCUCAAACGAAUACAAGAUUUUAGUUCAUUAGAAAAAAAUUUCACCAUAACUCCUGGAAACAAUGGUCAUUUGAAUGAACUUACAGCUUACCCCUGACAUUAAACACAAAGGUGGAUACCCCGCUGCCAUGUCGUACUUCCGGUACAAAAGAAAUUUUGACAUCAAGGCCUUGGAAGUUUCCUUGAUAAGCGAGUAAGUCGAGAUCCUUCUGUUUUUAUCUUCUC